UUAUGUCUUCCCAGAGGUGCACGUACUGCACAGCCAGCAGGAGUGCAAACUUCCUCACACUGCCCCACCAAUGUGACUCAGCACUGACCUGGAAGGACCACUCCGUUGAAAAGCUAA
ensembl:misc_RNA